GGGGACAUAGUUUAAAUAGAAUGCGGUUCUUGUAAAGCUGCGGUGCUUCUUAGUGUUGUUUCCA
rnacentral:tRNA from 1 species